rnacentral:rRNA from 1 species
GGCAGUCAAAGUAGGCAAAUCCGCUUUGAUAAUGCUGGGAUGUGAUGGGGAGCGAAAUUUAGUAGCAAAGUAGCUGAUUUCACACUGUCAAGAAAAGUCUCUAUCGAGGUUAAAGGUACCCGUACCGAAAACCGACACAGGUGGGUGAGGAGAGUAUCCUAAGGCCAGCGAGAGAACUGUUGUUAAGGAACUCGGCAAAAUGACCCCGUAACUUAGGGAUAAGGGGUGCCACCAUCAGGUGGCCGCAGAGAAUAGGCCCAAGCGACUGUUUACCAAAAACAUAGGUUUCUGCUAAGUCGCAAGACGAUGUAUAGGAGCUGACGCCUGCCCGGUGCUGGAAGGUUAAGGGGAUCUGUUAGAGCAAUCGAAGCAGUGAACUUAAGCCCCAGUAAACGGCGGCCGUAACUAUAACGGUCCUAAGGUAGCGAAAUUCCUUGUCGGGUAAGUUCCGACCCGCACGAAAGGCGUAACGAUUUGGGCACUGUCUCAACAACAGACUCGGUGAAAUUGUAAUUCCGGUGAAGAUGCCGGAUACCUGCGACAGGACGGAAAGACCCCAUGGAGCUUUACUGUAGCUUGACAUUGGGUCUUGGUACUACAUGUACAGGAUAGGUGGGAGGCUUUGAAACCAGGACGCCAGUUUUGGCGGAGCCAUCCUUGGGAUACCACCCUUGUAGUACUGGGACUCUAACCAUAG